rnacentral:rRNA from 1 species
UACGAAGGGGGCUAGCGUUGCUCGGAAUGACUGGGCGUAAAGGGUGCGUAGGCGGCGCGGUAAGUCGGGUGUGAAAUCUCGGAGCUUAACUCCGAAACUGCAUUCGAUACUGCCGUGCUUGAGGACUGGAGAGGAGACUGGAAUUUACGGUGUAGCGGUGAAAUGCGUAGAUAUCGUAAGGAAGACCAGUGGCGAAGGCGGGUCUCUGGACAGUUCCUGACGCUGAGGCACGAAGGUCAGGGGAGCAAACGGG